ACGUCUGGAAGGCUGUGGUCGAAGGCCAUUUUUUUUUGCUAGUUAUAAGCGGAGUGGGUCUCCAGAACCAAAGGGAGCUCAUUCUUCUCAAAAUUGACGGUGUUUAUGCCCAAGAAGAAACUGAAUUGUAUUUGGGCAAGAGAUGCGCUUAUGUACACAAAGCGAGAACAGCACACUGACUCCUGGCGGCAAACCAAACAAAUCCAGAGUUAUCUGGGGAAGGUUCACUCCGGCGCACGGAAACAGCGGCAUGGUUCAUGCCAAAUUCCGAAGCAAUCUUCCUGCUAAGGCCACUGGACACAGAAUCCAUGUGAUGCUGUACCUCUCAAAGAUUUAG
rnacentral:lncRNA from 1 species